CUACGGGAUGCUGCAGUGAGGAAUAUUGGACAAUGGGCGGAAGCCUGAUCCAGCCAUGCCGCGUGCAGGAAGACUGCCCUAUGGGUUGUAAACUGCUUUUGUACAGGAAGAAACCUUUCCACGUGUGGAGAGCUGACGGUACUGUAAGAAUAAGCAUCGGCUAACUCCGUGCCAGCAGCCGCGGUAAUACGGAGGAUGCAAGCGUUAUCCGGAAUCAUUGGGUUUAAAGGGUCCGUAGGUGGAUUGGUCAGUCAGAGGUGAAAUCCUGCAGCUCAACUGUAGAACUGCCUUUGAUACUGCCGGUCUUGAAUUAUUGUGAAGUGGUUAGAAUAUGUAGUGUAGCGGUGAAAUGCAUAGAUAUUACAUAGAAUACCGAUUGCGAAGGCAGAUCACUAACAAUAUAUUGACACUGAUGGACGAAAGCGUGGGGAGCGAACGGGAUUAGAUACCCUUGUAGUC
rnacentral:rRNA from 1 species